GGAAUGCCUCGCCAGGACCCACGGGGCUUGACUAGAGCCGUCUCAGAAGCUGCUGCCUGGAGCCUGCAUCAUAAGUUCACAGCCCAGCAGUGUAUGCAGCUGGGGGUGCGGUGCGGCUGCAUCGGCUAAUGAUGGAAACUGGCCAACAUUAAAACAGAAUUCUAGCUCUUCCGUGAAACCAGUGCAGGUGGCCGGUGCAGACUGGAAGGAUCCGAGCGUGGAGGGGUCUGUCAAGCAGGGCACUGUCUCCAGCCAGCCUGUGCCCUUCUCAGCACUGGGACCCACGGAGAAGCCGGGCAUCGAGAUUGGUAAAGUGCCACCUCCCAUCCCGGGUGUAGGCAAGCAGCUGCCUCCAAGCUAUGGGACAUACCCAAGUCCUACACCUCUGGGUCCUGGGUCGACAAGCUCCCUGGAAAGGAGGAAGGAAGGCAGCUUGCCCAGGCCCAGUGCAGGCCUGCCAAGUCGACAGAGGCCCACCCUGCUGCCCCCCACAGGCAACACCCCCCAGCCAGGCUCCUCACAACAGAUUCAGCAGAGGAUUUCCGUACCGCCAAGUCCCACGUACCCGCCAGCGGGACCACCUGCAUUUCCAGCUGGGGACAGCAAGCCUGAACUCCCACUGACAGUGGCCAUUAGGCCCUUCCUGGCUGAUAAAGGGUCAAGGCCACAGUCUCCCAGGAAAGGACCCCAGACAGUGAAUUCAAGUUCCAUAUACUCCAUGUACCUCCAGCAAGCCACACCACCUAAGAAUUACCAGCCGGCAGCACACAGCGCCUUAAAUAAGUCAGUUAAAGCAGUGUAUGGUAAGCCCGUUUUACCUUCGGGUUCAACCUCUCCAUCGCCGCUGCCGUUUCUUCACGGGUCGCUGUCCACGGGCACACCACAGCCUCAGCCAUCUUCAGAAAGUGCUGAGAAAGAGCCUGAGCAGGAUGGCCCCGCCGCCCCCGCAGAUGGCAGCACCGUGGAGAGCCUGCCACGGCCACUCAGCCCCACCAAGCUCACGCCCAUCGUGCAUUCGCCACUGCGCUACCAGAGUGAUGCAGACCUGGAGGCCCUCCGCAGGAAGCUGGCCAACGCGCCCCGGCCCCUGAAAAAGCGCAGCUCCAUCACAGAGCCCGAGGGCCCCGGCGGGCCCAACAUCCAGAAGCUGCUGUACCAGCGCUUCAACACCCUGGCCGGUGGCAUGGAGGGCACCCCUUUCUACCAGCCCAGCCCCUCCCAGGACUUCAUGGGCACCUUGGCCGAUGUGGACAAUGGAAACACCAAUGCCAAUGGAAACCUGGAAGAGCUCCCCCCUGCCCAGCCCACAGCCCCACUCCCCGCUGAGCCUGCCCCGUCAUCAGAUGCCAAUGAUAAUGAGUUACCUUCCCCCGAACCAGAGGAGCUCAUCUGUCCCCAAACCACCCACCAAACUGCCGAGCCGGCAGAGGACAAUAACAACAACGUGGCCACGGUCCCCACCACGGAGCAGAUCCCGAGUCCUGUGGCUGAGGCCCCAUCUCCAGGGGAAGAGCAGGUCCCUCCAGCACCUCUUCCCCCUGCCAGCCACCCUCCUGCCACCUCCACGAGCAAGCGGACCAACUUGAAGAAGCCCAACUCGGAGCGGACGGGGCACGGGCUGAGAGUCCGGUUUAACCCCCUGGCACUGCUCCUAGACGCGUCUCUGGAAGGAGAGUUCGAUCUGGUGCAGAGGAUCAUCUAUGAGGUGAGCUGCAGCCGGGGACCCGUGCACGCUGCUGGGGGCGAGGGGAUGGGCGCUCACAGGCCAUGUGUCCUAGGUGGAAGAUCCCAGCAAGCCCAACGACGAAGGGAUCACCCCACUGCACAACGCCGUCUGCGCCGGCCACCAUCACAUCGUGAAGUUCCUGCUGGAUUUUGGUGUCAACGUGAAUGCUGCUGAUAGUGAUGGAUGGACGCCGCUGCACUGCGCUGCCUCUUGUAACAGCGUUCACCUCUGCAAACAGCUGGUGGAGAGUGGUGCCGCCAUUUUUGCCUCAACCAUAAGCGACAUUGAAACUGCUGCAGACAAGUGUGAGGAGAUGGAGGAAGGCUACAUCCAGUGCUCCCAGUUUCUAUAUGGGGUGCAGGAAAAGCUGGGUGUGAUGAACAAAGGUGUGGUGUAUGCUCUGUGGGACUACGAGGCCCAGAACAGUGACGAGCUGUCCUUCCACGAAGGGGACGCCCUCACCAUCCUGAGGCGCAAGGACGAAAGCGAGACUGAGUGGUGGUGGGCUCGCCUUGGAGACCGGGAGGGCUAUGUGCCCAAAAACCUGCUGGGGCUGUAUCCACGGAUCAAACCCCGACAGCGAACACUGGCCUGAACUUCCUUUUGGAGCACCGCAUGGUCUUGCCAGCUACCAGGAGCCACUUAAGAGAUUAUUGUGCUGUUUUCCAGGAAAGCUGCAGCUAGAAAAUGGUCUUAAUGGUGCUCACUUUAGCAGACAGCGUCCACAAUGUGAAUCCUACAGUUUCCAGGUGAGGCCCUUUCUCCAGUUUGCCCAUAACUGGGAGAGGUACUUUCGCCUCCAAGGACUGAAUUUUGCCAAUUACUGUAAAUCCAAAUAAAUACCCACUUUCAAAA
rnacentral:sRNA from 1 species